GACGAACGCUGGCGGCGUGCCUAAUACAUGCAAGUCGAACGCAGUGGGGACGGGUGAUUAACACGUGGGUAACCUCCCAUCAGAGGGGAUAACACUUGGCAACAGGUGCUAAACCGCAACUGAUGGAUGGAACCGGGGUGCAUUAGCUAGUUGGUGGGGUAACGGCUCACCAAGGCCACGAUGCAUAGCCGACCUGAGAGGGUGAUCGGCCACACUGGAACUGAGACACGGCCCAGACUCCUACGGGAGGCAGCAGUAGGGAAUCUUGGGCAAUGGACGAAAGUCUGACAGAGCAACGCGGCGUGAGUGAAGAAGGUUUUCGGAUUGUAAAACUCUGUUGUUAGAGAAGCGUUAUCUAACCAGAAAGCCACGGCUAACUACGUGCCAGCAGCCGCGGUAAUUC
rnacentral:rRNA from 1 species